rnacentral:rRNA from 1 species
AUAUUGGACAAUGGGCGAAAGCCUGAUCCAGCCAUGCCGCGUGUGUGAAGAAGGUCUUCGGAUUGUAAAGCNCUUUUAGUUGGGAGGAAGGGCAGUNANUUAAUACCUUGNUGUUUUGACGUUACCCACAGAAUAAGCACCGGCUAACUUCGUGCCAGCAGCCGCGGUAAUACGAAGGGUGCAAGCGUUAAUCGGAAUUACUGGGCGUAAAGCGCGCGUAGGUGGUUUUUUAAGUUGGAUGUGAAAGCCCCGGGCUCAACCUGGGAACUGCAUUGGAAACUGGCNAGCUAGAGUAUGGUAGAGGGAGGUGGAAUUCCCUGUGUAGCGGUGAAAUGCGUAGAUAUAAGAAGGAACACCAGUGGCGAAGGCGACCACCUGGACCU